UACGGAGGGUGCAAGCGUUAUCCGGAUUCACUGGGUUUAAAGGGUGCGUAGGCGGGCAGGGAAGUCCGUGGUGAAAUCUCCGGGCUUAACUCGGAAACUGCCGUGGAUACUCUCUGUCUUGAAUACUGUGGAGGUGAGCGGAAUAUGUCAUGUAGCGGUGAAAUGCUUAGAGAUGACAUAGAACACCAAUUGCGAAGGCAGCUCACUGCGCAGUGAUUGACGCUGAGGCACGAAAGCGUGGGGAUCAAACAGGAUUAGAUACCCUUGUAGUCC
rnacentral:rRNA from 1 species